rnacentral:rRNA from 1 species
AACAAACGCUGGCGGCGUGUCUUAAGCAUGCAAGUCGGGCGGCAAGGGCAGCAAUGCCCCUAGAGCGGCGGACUGGUGAGUAACGCGUGGGUGAUCUACCAUUAGGGCAUGGGGAUAGCCAUUAGAAAUAGUGGGUAAUACCGAAUACGCUUGCACAGGUGAAGCUGUGUAAGGAAAGGUGCUACGGCAUCGGCCUAAAGAUGAGCCUGCGUCCCAUUAGCUAGUUGGUGAGGUAAGAGCCCACCAAGGCGAUGAUGGGUAGCCGGCCUGAGAGGGUGUACGGCCACACUGGGACUGAGAUACGGCCCAGACUCCUACGGGAGGCAGCAGCUAAGAAUAUUCCGCAAUGGACGAAAGUCUGACGGAGCGACGCCGCGUGGAUGAAGAAGGCCGAAAGGUUGUAAAAUCCUUUUGCUGGGGAAGAAUAAGUCUGGGAGGGAAUGCCCGGAUGAUGACAUGAACCGGCGAAUAAGCCCCGGCCAACUACGUGCCAGCAGCCGCGGUAACACGUAGGGGGCGAGCGUUGUUCGGAAUUACUGGGCGUAAAGGGCAUGUAGGCGGUUUUGUAAGCUUGGCGUGAAAGUCCACGGCUCAACUGUGGGAUAGCGUUGAGAACUGCGAAGCUUGAGUUAUGGAGAGGGAGCUAGAAUUCCUGGUGUAGGGGUGGAAUCUGUAGAGAUCAGGAAGAAUACCAAUGGCGAAGGCAAGCUCCUGGCCGAUGACUGACGCUGAGGUGCGAAAGUGUGGGGAUCAAACAGGAUUAGAUA